rnacentral:rRNA from 1 species
UACAGAGGGUGCGAGCGUUAAUCGGAAUUACUGGGCGUAAAGCGUGCGCAGACGGUCAUGUAAGUCGGGUGUGAAAGCCCCGGGCUCAACCUGGGAAUUGCAUUCGAGACUGUGUGGCUAGGGUGCGGAAGAGGGAAGCGGAAUUUCCGGUGUAGCGGUGAAAUGCGUAGAUAUCGGAAGGAACACCAGUGGCGAAAGCGGCUUCCUGGUCCAGCACCGACGUCAGGCACGAAAGCGUGGGGAGCAA